CCUACGGGAGGCAGCAGUGAGGAAUAUUGGUCAAUGGUCGGGAGCCUGAACCAGCCAAGCCGCGUGAGGGAGGAAGGUCCUGCGUAUUGUAAACUUCUUUUGUCAGGGAAUAAAGACUGGCACGCGUUCCCUGAUGAGUGUACCUUAAGAAAAAGCAUCGGCUAACUCCGUGCCAGCAGCCGCGGUAAUACGGAGGAUGCGCGCGUUAUCCGGAUUUAUUGGGUUUAAAGGGAGCGCAGGCGGGGUGGUAAGUCAGCGGUCAAAGGUGGGGGCUUAACCGCGGACUGGCCGUUGAUCCUGGCAGGCUGGAGUGCAGGAGAGGUAGGCGGAAUGCGCGGUGUAGCGGUGAAAUGCGUAGAUAUCACGCAGAACUCCGAUUGCGAAGGCAGCUUGCCGGAUUGAAACUGACGCUGAGGCUCGAAAGCGUGGGUAUCAAACAGGAUUAGAUACCCGAGUAGUC
rnacentral:rRNA from 1 species